UUAUAACAUCAACAGGUCGGCUUACAUGUAGCCAAUAGUUUAUAACAUCAACAGGUCGGCUUACAUGUAGCCAAUAGUUUAAUAACUUCAACAGGUCGGCUUACAUGUAGCCAAUAGUUUAAUAACAUCAACAGGUCGGCUUACAUGUAGC